rnacentral:snRNA from 1 species
AGUACCCACAUGCAGGAGCUGAGA